ACGCAUGACUAUGACGUGAAGAUGCGGAACGUGCGCCGUUUUCUCGAGGAAGGCGACAAGGUGAAGGUCACCCUGCGCUUCCGCGGACGCGAGAUGGCACAUCAGGAGCUUGGCCGCGCCCUGCUCGAACGCAUCGCCAAGGAUGUGGAGGAGCUGGGCAAGGUCGAAUCGAUGCCCAAGAUGGAAGGGCGUCAGAUGAUCAUGGUCAUCGGACCGCUCAAGCACUGACCCGCGCGCCCCGUCCCGCCGGACGGGGCGUCGCCUUUUGCGCCGCG
rnacentral:misc_RNA from 1 species